rnacentral:tRNA from 1 species
GCCGGUGUGGCUCAGUGGAUAGAGCGUCAGUUGGCCUGCGGACUGAAGGGUGCCGGGUUCGAUUCCUGGUCAAGGGCA